rnacentral:tRNA from 1 species
GGAGAAUUACUCAAGUUGGUUGAAGAGGACGGUUUGCUAAACCGUUAGGUCGGGGAAUCCCGGCGCGAGAGUUCGAAUCUCUCAUUCUCCGCCA